rnacentral:rRNA from 1 species
GUAGUCCACGCCGUAAACGAUGAUAACUAGCUGUCCGGGCACUUGGUGUUUGGGUGGCGCAGCUAACGCAUUAAGUUAUCCGCCUGGGGAGUACGGUCGCAAGAUUAAAACCCAAAGGAAUUGACGGGGGCCCGCACAAGCGGCGGAGCAUGCGGAUUAAUUCGAUGCAACGCGAAGAACCUUACCAAGGCUUGACAUGAACCGGAAACACCUGGAAACAGGUGCCCCGCUUGCGGUCGGUUUACAGGUGGUGCAUGGUUGUCGUCAGCUCGUGUCGUGAGAUGUUGGGUUAAGUCCCGCAACGAGCGCAACCCUCGUUCUAUGUUGCCAGCGCGUUAUGGCGGGGACUCAUAGGAGACUGCCGGGGUCAACUCGGAGGAAGGUGGGGACGACGUCAAAUCAUCAUGCCCCUUAUGUCUUGGGCUUCACGCAUGCUACAAUGGCCGGUACAAAGGGUUGCGAUACUGUGAGGUGGAGCUAAUCCCAAAAAGCCGGUCUCAGUUCGGAUUGGGGUCUGCAACUCGACCCCAUGAAGUCGGAGUCGCUAGUAAUCGCAGAUCAGCAACGCUGCGGUGAAUACGUUCCCGGGCCUUGUACACACCGCCCGUCAAGUCACGAAAGUUGGUAACACCCGAAGCCGGUGGCCUAACCCCUUGUGGGAGGGAGCUGUCGAAGGUGGGACUGGCGAUUGGGACU